UACGGAGGGUGCAAGCGUUGUCCGGAAUCACUGGGUGUAAAGGGUGUGCAGGCGGACUUGUAAGUCAGCGGUGAAAUCUCCCGGCUCAACCGGGAAACUGCCCCUGAUACUGCAAGUCUUGAGUCCUGGAGAGGUCACUAGAAUUCGUGGUGUAGCGGUGAAAUGCGUAGAUAUCACGAGGAAUACCUGAGGAGAAGUCGGGUGACUGGACAGGUACUGACGCUGAGGCACGAAAGCGUGGGGAGCAAACAGG
rnacentral:misc_RNA from 1 species